UAGGAUGUAGCUCAGUAGUAAGAGUGCUUGCCUAGGAUGCACAAAGCCCUGGGUUCAAUUCCCAGUACUGUGA
rnacentral:tRNA from 1 species